rnacentral:lncRNA from 1 species
GUUAAUUUAUCUCCGCCCUCCACACGCUAAUUAAAGCGGGUCUGAGGGGGAUUAUUCAAAAAGCACGCUGUCUGAUGUCACAAGAAUUUAUUAAUUAAAAUUCGCGGCAGAAAAAAAAGGGCACGAAAAAAUGUAGUAUUUAAAUUACAGGACGCCCGCUUUGGAGAAUUUUGAUGCGCGUGUGGGGAGGGGGGCAUAUCUAUAAAUACUAUAAUUGAAAAGGAUUUUACAGGUACGGAAGAGGGCUCGGGCUGCGUCAGGAGGAGGAGCCCUGGUGGCUCUUGGAGACUUCGAGCUGUGGGGGGAGGAGGUUGAGGAAGCUCCCCCGGACGGGCUCGUCGUCCAAAUCCGAGGAUUCUGCGGGAGGACGAACUCGGGUCAGCUGCAAACUAAUUCAUGUGAUGGGGCAACCGAUAGAUACCUACUGCAUCUUAGUGAGAUCCAGCCCCUCCCCUGGCAUUGAAUGGUAAUUUAAAACAACAAUCUAGAGAGAGAGAGAGAGAGAAUGUGUGGCUGAUAAAGCAGUCCCUCCUGGCAUCACAUCCUAGGAAUAGUAAAGAAGCUAGAGAGAGAGAGAGAGAGAGAG